rnacentral:lncRNA from 1 species
AUUUAGUUUUACGAACAAUUUUUAUGCCCCACCUACGAUAGUAGAGGGGCAUUAUGUUUUCUGGUCUGUGCGUCCGUUCGUCCGUCUGUUCGUUCGUCCGUCUGUUCGUUCGUCCGUUCAUCCGUUCGUCCGUCUGUCCCGCUUCAGGUUAAAGUUUUUGGUCGAGGUAGUUUUUGAUGAAGUUGAAGUCCAAUCAACUUGAAACUUAGUAUACAUGUGCCCUAUGAUAUGAUCUUUCUAAUUUAAAUGCCAAAUUAGAGUUUUGACCCCAAUUUUACGGUUCACUGAUAGAAAAUGAUAGUGC